rnacentral:rRNA from 1 species
GCUUGUCUCAAAGAUUAAGCCAUGCAUGUCUAAGUAUAAACAACUUUAUACUGUGAAACUGCGAAUGGCUCAUUAAAUCAGUUAUAGUUUAUUUGAUAGUACCUUACUACUCGGAUAACCGUAGUAAUUCUAGAGCUAAUACGUGCGAAAAGACCCGACUUCUCGGAAGGGUUGCAUUUAUUAGAUACAAAACCAAUAAGGGGGGCAACUCUCUUUUACCCAUGGUGAUUCAUAAUAACUUUUGCGGAUCGCAUGGCCUUGUGCCGGCGACGAAUCAUUCAAAUUUCUGCCCUAUCAACUUUCGAUGGUACGGUAUUGGCCUACCAUGGUUACAACGGGUAACGGGGAAUUAGGGUUCGGUUCCGGAGAGGGGGCCUGAGAAAUGGCCACCACAUCCAAGGAAGGCAGCAGG